GACGAACGCUGGCGGCGUGCUUAACACAUGCAAGUCGAACGAUGAACUUGGAGCUUGCUCUGGGGGAUUAGUGGCGAACGGGUGAGUAACACGUGAGUAACCUGCCCUGGACUCUGGGAUAACUUCGAGAAAUCGGAGCUAAUACCGGAUAGGACCUUGCACCGCAUGGUGUGGGGUGGAAAGCUUUUCGGUUUGGGAUGGACUCGCGGCCUAUCAGCUUGUUGGUGAGGUAAUGGCUCACCAAGGCGUCGACGGGUAGCCGGCCUGAGAGGGUGACCGGCCACACUGGGACUGAGACACGGCCCAGACUCCUACGGGAGGCAGCAGUGGGGAAUAUUGCACAAUGGGCGCAAGCCUGAUGCAGCAACGCCGCGUGCGGGAUGACGGCCUUCGGGUUGUAAACCGCUUUUAGUAGGGAAGAAGCCUUCGGGUGACGGUACCUGCAGAAAAGGGACCGGCUAACUACGUGCCAGCCGCCGCAGUAAAAC
rnacentral:rRNA from 1 species